GCCUUGCUAGCUCAAUCGGUAGAGCGUGAGACUCUUAAUCUCAUGAGAAGGUUGCGGGUUCGACCCCCGCGUGAGGCU
rnacentral:tRNA from 1 species